rnacentral:ncRNA from 2 species
ACCAGAGAAAAGUAAACAGCUCAUAUAAUUUCGCUGUGAUGGCGCGAAAGUUUCUACCGGGCCGCCCAAGGCUCUGCUAUGAGUGUCUUUCCGCAGGGG